GACUAGGCACUGCUCAGAGAGCUGGGGUAAGGCCACCGUGUGCUUUCCUGAAAGGAGUGAAAGUAGAGAGAGCCUGAGAUGAGCAUCUUCCGGAGGGAGGGACUAUGUCGCCUGGGAGAGAGUCACACACACCUGGUUUCUGGGACUCUGGGCCCCAGAGGCAGGUGUCAUCUAGGGAUAAAGAAUGAGAGGUAAUGUCCAGAGGAGGAGGUCCCUUCUCUGACAGCCUGGGGUCGGAGGAGGCAAAGCUUUUGUUAAGAGGCAGUUCCCUGGCUUGAUCAGAAGAGGAAUGUCAGCCAGCUUCUGAGGACUGCAAUACCAGAGCUUCUGAGGCAAACUGGGACAUAGGAAGAUUGAAGAAGGCGCCAGAGGCACAGAGACACACUACUGGAGCCUUGGAGAUGGUGGUCAUGGAAGCCAUUAAUAAAACAUGGAACUUUCUGGAACACUGGGUUUCUGGCUGUUCCUUUGUUUGCCCGUGGUGGCCAGCAUGUUUGCAGUUGGGAGGAUUCUUCACCAGUCUAACACAUGCCUCAGUUUUCUAGAGAUGGAACCUGAUGAAACGGCCCCGUUUGAGCGCCUGCUGUAUCGCGUUGGCUCUGCUUCCUGCAGCUGUGCUCCAAGAUGAGCCUUUCAGACAUCGCUCCUUAAUAGCUCCAUCUCCCCCAGUCCAGGAGGAUGUGCAUUCCUCUCCUCAUUCACAUGCCCCACGUCAAGCCAUCUGCACACUCUACAGGGGACUUGCCGCCUAACAUCCUAAUGUGCAACCCCAUCCAAAUCCUCUGCUGGAAUCUCACUAUUUGCACCACUUACGCUCCUGGAGCGUGAAACAGAAGGGCCAGUCCUCUUGUCUCUUUAUUCUAAGUGUUUAAUACAGAUUCCAUGGACUUGGUCCAUAACAAUAUGAGUGUGGUCUUACAUCAGUCCUUCUACUAAUUUCUCAUCAUCUCCCUCAUCCUUGUCCUUUAGUGAUUGUUCCAGACCUUCUCUUCUUAUCCUCAUACUCUCGUCUUUGGUAUAGUAGUGAGUAAAAGAAAGAAAGAAAAUAAAGGUCCUAGUGUGACUC